CAUAAUCAAAUAACCUAAAAUAACAUCACAUUCUUCCUCACCAUUGACUUGAAAAUUCAGCUAAGGCUAGGUAAUGGGAAAAAUGAAUGUUUUUCUACAUAUUUUGUUUACUAACAUGCUAAACUAACACUAAACACCAACAUAUAUCAAAAUCAAAUCAAUCCAACAAUUUUCUCUCUCUAGACCCAUAUGACCAGCCAUGAAAACAUGCAAUUUAAUCAUGGAAAUAAGGAGAAAUGCUUGAGAAUAAGAAAACUCAAGUUUAAUAGAAAAAAUCUUAACUUUUUCACUUAAUUUCCUUGAAAAUUCACACUUUUUCUUUGAUUUUCU
rnacentral:lncRNA from 1 species